rnacentral:rRNA from 1 species
UACGUAGGGUCCAAGCGUUAAUCGGAAUUACUGGGCGUAAAGCGUGCGCAGGCGGUUCGUUAAGUCAGCUGUGAAAGCCCCGGGCUCAACCUGGGAAUUGCGGUUGAAACUGGCGAACUAGAAUCUGGCAGAGGGGGGUGGAAUUCCACGUGUAGCAGUGAAAUGCGCAGAUAUCGGGAAGAACACCCGUGGCGAAGGCGGUUCUCUGGGACGGUACUGACGCUGAGACGCGAAAGCGUGGGGAGCGAACAGG